ensembl:lncRNA
AAUCUGUUUGUUUAUUUACAAUGUUGUUCCAGGGUCAACAAAGAUGUUGAUCCAGGAACAUGUCGCACUUGGUAAAAUCGGGUUCUGCUACAGUGCACAGUACACUUUCCCUGAACACUUUGACCCUGCUUGACUGAGUUCCGAUCCAUAGAUUAGGUUGUCUAGAAUGCCUGUCAUGUCACGAUUUUGAGAAAGACUGUUCAGAUUUGCUAUAUGUGACACAGGUUUCUUUUAUGCAGACAGAAAACAGCUGAUAGGAAAAUGUAGCUUACAUGAUUGUCUACAAACAGCCUGACAAGUCUGUGAGAAUUCUGGCCUGCAAUGACACAGAGACUUGGACUCCAAAUUAGAGAUGUGUGAACAGCACAAUCUUUUUCCCAGUAGCACUGACAUUAAUGAGGAGCUCAGGUGUCAGGGGAAGAGACGUGUGUCAGACGUCAGGAGAUACCACUGUGGAGCCACAGAAGGGGAGCAACAAAAGGGGCUCAGAGAAGAGUGGGUGAGGUGUUUGUUGCAUAUCCUGAGAACGUGUGGCCAUGGGGGGUGUCAUUAGAGCCACUCGUUGGGCUGGUGGGUGGCCAGCAUGUGUGGAGAUCCGGACGCCUGUAAAUGUCACAGAAGAAAGUCCUACUGUGCAUAGAACUCAUUUCCUGUUAACAGCCAGCUCUCUCUAGUUCUGCAUUAUUGAUAAAGGGCAUACGUAUGCUUGCAAACACAAACACACACACUCUUAUGCAAACAAUACCAAACUAUCUUGACAAGUAAUUCACUAAGAACAACAACAACUCUGGCAAACUGUUAGAUCUGGAAACUUCUUAAUAAUUUAGAGCCUUAAGAAAAGAGUUCUGGUAAAUAAAAUUUUGAUUAGCAAGUCA